CAGGUACCCAUAUUUAUGGUUUCUGAAACAGCAGCAGAAGUAAUUGCCUUUACCAAUGCCUUGCCUGAAUGGCUAUGCAAGUCACGCCAAGAGAAGCUAUUCUCUGGCGAGGCAUUAUUUGGCCAUGUGGAGCUUUUGAAGGAGGGCAAAUUAUUUCUGUUCCCCCAUCUACACUCAAAGGGCCUGCUGGCAGCAUGGAAGGAGCCUUGUAUUGCGAUUUGUCCACACUGGAGCCUUAGGCUUGGCCCGGCUGUACACUUGCUUCGUCACUGGCGUGCAGACAAAC